UACGAAGGGGGCUAGCGUUGUUCGGAAUUACUGGGCGUAAAGCGUGCGCAGGCGGCUUCUCAAGUCAGGGGUGAAAGCCCAGAGCUCAACUCUGGAAUUGCCUUUGAGACUGAGUGGCUUGAGUACGAGAGAGGUGAGUGGAGUUCCCAGUGUAGAGGUGAAAUUCGUAGAUAUUGGGAAGAACACCGGUGGCGAAGGCGGCUCACUGGCUCGUAACUGACGCUCAUGCACGACAGCGUGGGGAUCAAACAGG
rnacentral:rRNA from 1 species